AGUCAUCCCUGCGUAGCUGUGGUGCUGCGUGCGAGUCUGAUAGCCCCGACCCACCUGAUUACUAGUACUUAUACCUCUAUUUCUUCAAGAUGCCUGAAGAAGUGCACCAUGGAGAGGAGGAGGUGGAGACUUUUGCCUUUCAGGCAGAAAUUGCCCAGCUUAUGUCGCUCAUCAUCAAUACUUUUAUUCCAACAAGGAAAUAUUCCUUCGAGAGUUGAUCUCUAAUGCUUCUGAUGCCUUGGACAAGAUUCGUUACGAGAGCCUGACAGAUCCUUCCAAGUUAGACAGUGGUAAAGAGUUAAAAAUUGACAUCAUCCCUAACCCUCAGGAACAAACUCUGACCUUGGUGGACACAGGCAUUGGUAUGACCAAGGCUGAUCUCAUAAAUAAUUUGGGAACCAUUGCCAAGUCUGGUACUAAAGCAUUUAUGGAGGCUCUUCAGGCUGGUGCAGAUAUCUCCAUGAUUGGGCUUUUAUUCUGCCUACCUGGUGGCAGAGAAAGUGGUUGUGAUCACAAAACACAACGAUGAUGAACAGUAUGCCGGGGAAUCUUCUGCUGGGGGUUCCUUCACUGUGCAUGCUAAUCAUGGUGAGCCCAUUGGCAGGGGCACCAAAGUGAUCCUCCACCUUAAAGAAGACCAGACAGAGUAUUUAGAAGAGAGGCGGGUCAAAGAAGUAGUGAAGAAGCACUCCCAGUUCAUAGGCUAUCCCAUCACCCUUUAUUUGGAGAAGGAACGAGAGAAGGAAAUCAGCGACGAUGAGGCAGAAGAAGAGAAAGGUGAGAAAGAAUAAGAUAAAGAUAAUGAAGAGAAACCCAAGAUCGAAGAUGUGGGCUCAGAUGAGGAGGAUGACAGCAGUAAGGAUAAGAAAAAGAAAACCAAGAAGAUUAAGGAAAAAUACAUUGAUCGGGAAGAAUUAAACAAAACCAAGCCCAUUUGGACCAGAAACCCUGAUGACAUCACCCAGGAGGAGUAUGGAGAAUUCUACAAGAGCCUCACCAAUGACUGGGAAGACCACUUGGCAGUCAAGCACUUUUCUGUAGAAGGUCAGUUGGAAUUCAGGGCAUUGCUUUUCAUCCCUUGUUGGGUCCCUUUGACCUCUUUGAGAACAAAAAGAAAAAGAACAACAUUAAACUAUAUGUCCGUUGUGUGUUCAUCAUGGACAGCUGUGAUGAGUUGAUACCAGAGUAUCUCAACUUCAUCCGUGGUGUGGUUGACUCUGAGGAUCUGACCCUGAACAUCUCCCGAGAAAUGCUUCAGCAGAGCAAAAUUUUUAAAGUGAUUCGUAAAAACAUUGUUAAGAAGUGCCUUGAGCUCUUUUCUGAGUUGGCAGAAGACAAGGAGAACUAUAAAAAAUUCUAUGAGGCAUUCUCUAAAAAUUUGAAGCUUGGAAUACAUGAGGACUGCACUAAGCGGCGACCCCUGUCUGAGCUGCUGCGCUAUCAUACCUCCCAGUCUGGAGAUGAGAUGACUUCUCUGUCAGAGUAUGUCUCUCGCAUGAAGGAAACACAGAAGUCCAUCUAUUACAUCACUGGUGAGAGCAAAGAGCAGGUGGCCAACUCUGCAUUUGUGGAGCGAGUGCGGAAGCGGGGCUUUGAGGUGGUAUAUAUGACUGAGCCCAUUGAUGAGUACUGCGUGCAGCAGCUCAAGGAGUUUGAUGGGAAGACCCUGGUCUCAGUUACCAAGGAGGGCCUAGAGCUACCCGAGGAUGAGGAAAAGAAGAAGAAAAUGGAAGAGAGCAAGGCAAAGUUUGAGAACCUCUGCAAGCUCAUGAAAGAAAUCUUGGAUAAGAAAGUCGAGAAGGUGACAAUCUCCAAUAGGCUUGUGUCUUCACCCUGCUGCAUCGUGACCAGUACCUAUGGCUGGACAGCCAACAUGGAGCGGAUCAUGAAAGCCCAGGUGCUUCGGGACAACUCCACAAUGGGCUCUAUGAUGGCCAAAAAACACCUGGAGAUAAACCCUGACCACCCCAUUGUGGAGAUGCUGCGGCAGAAGGCUGAGGCGGACAAAAAUGACAAGGCUGUCAAGGACCUGGUGGUGCUGCUGUUUGAAACUGCACUGCUCUCCUCUGGCUUCUCCCUUGAGGAUCCCCAGACCCACUCCAACCGCAUCUAUGGCAUGAUCAAGCUAGGCCUAGGCAUUGAUGACGAUGAAGUGACAGCAGAGGAACCCAGUCCUGCUGUUCCCGAUGAAAUCCCACCCCUUGAAGGUGAUGAGGAUGCAUCUCGCAUUGAAGUAGAUUAGGAGUUUAUACUUAGAAACCUUUUGCCUCUGUAUAGUGUUACCCAUGAUCCCCACAGCCUUUGAGUGGCCAUGUCCCACUUGGCUUCCUCUGCUGAUGUCUAGUUUUUUCUUUGAUUGACUGUCCUUGGGUGUAAGGGAGGAAACUGGGGUCUCAAGCCCUAUUCCCGCCCGAGU